UUGCUAAUUCUUAAAUAUAUUUUGAUUUCAGCUGUUGUUGAUUUCUUUUAAACUGUAAUGUCAUAUUCUCCAAGACAUGACUGCAAAUCGAGAUCCUGGAAGAAAAUGAUACAGAAUUGACCUGGAAGAAAAUAAGUUUAAUUGGAAGGUGUAUUAUCCCAUUUUUGGUUCGACUAUGGUCAAAGAAAAUAUGAAAAUGCUAAAGAAAAACUCCCAUGUUUUGCUACUGCAAGGUGGGAGGUUGCUGUGACCUUUCAUUUAGUUUCACUCUUGGCCAUUCGUCAUAUUUAUGGAAAAUUUAUUUUCUCAUGUUUUAUUUAAACGUGUCUUUGUUUAAAUUUUUAAUUUUUUUGUAGAAAUUAAAUUGUGAAACUCUAAGGAUUGGUGAGCAAUGAAUAGAAGGGGCAUAGCCUUUAAUGUAGUUAAAAUAAACUAAGAAAUAUAUAUAUAUAUAGGCAUAAAAAUUGGAGUAUUAAAUAAAACUUAGAGAAAAGAGUGAGAAGAUCGCUGGAAAAGAACUGCUUUAGAAUUUUCAAGGACUAGCGAGCUAGAGUAGAACCCUCUUCUGAUUUUAAAAGAAAACAUUAAGAACUUAUCAGUGAUAGAAAUUACUCGUCCAUUAAAUUUGUGGGAGACUCUUACAAAAUUCCUUCGCUGCCAUGAGGAAAAAAGGUGACUAAUUUAAGCUCAAAAAUUAUAUGGAACACAGUGAAAGAGCGUCCGGCAACCUAAUUCCAUACAUUUCCCCAUAGAAAGGCACUGCCACGCGUGUUUCGGAAACAAGGAUUGGGACCCUUGACUAAUCUUUCGCAAUCAAGUUUAUUCUAGUUUGAUUUUCCGUAAAAAAAAUUUAUUCAAUUUUAGGUCAGAGAAUGUGAAUUAUUUAUUUUUUGUAAAUAUUACUUUUCUUUUACAAACCUACCUAGCUAGCAGUAAAAUAUUUAUUUUCAAAGAUCAUAUUUUAAGUUUCAUGUAUUUUAAAUUUGUUUUAUUUGUAACCUAUUUAUAAUUCCUGACUCCUCUUUUUUUAUUUUAGCAUUUCUUACCUUCAGUCACCAUACUUUUACAUAAAUGAAAUUAAUUAAUAAGGAAUUUUGCAUACUUCGCUCUAUUUUAUUUGAGUGAUUCUAUAUAUUCUUAAACCCUUUUACUGCUGUUGCCAUCAGACUCUAUAAUGUUUUCGUAUUUUUGCACUUUUUGUAUUUUAUAUACUUUUCUGUUUUUCUUGAUUUUAAUAAACAUUUAGCCGUAUGCCCUAAAUUGGGGCAGGUCGGGGUAAAUAUUUCAUAUUCUUAAAUCCUGUAUUAUAUGUUUAUUGACGAAUGUAAGUUACUCAAAAUUUUCACAAGAACCAACUUUCAAAAUGUGUAAUUCUGAAGUAUCAUGCCAUGGCAUGACAUAUCAUUAAAUUUCCACCGUUAUUCAACUGUAUCACAACUUAUGUUGGGAUUGGCUUUUCACCAGAAAAUUAAUUCUUGAAAGCAUUGAUAGCUCAAUUAAAGAUAUAAAAACUAAUUCACUUUCAUUUUAUGAUUUUAAAUUUAUUGUGAAUAUAUAAUGUUAAAAAUCAUGUUAAAAUGAGAAAAACUGAAACAAAACUGGACAUGUAAUAAAUUUUUUGCACGAUAAGAAAUAUUCUAGGACAAUGAUUGACAAAACACGAGAGUAUUGACCUGUAGUUGAGAUGACCUCUAAUUGAGAGUAUUGACCUGUAGUGCACAUAUGAAAGAAGUAUUUAAAUAAUUUCUGGAAUUAAGGUGUACUCCAUGCUACACAAUUUAUUUUCUCAUUUUAAAAUGAGUUGAAAAUUUGUGAUUCGUUUAUUUUGUUCAGCUUACUUAGUAUGUUACCUAAUGUAUCUCUUAUCUUUCAUGAAAUAAAUACUUAUAAAUCGCAAAA